UACAGAGGUCUCAAGCGUUGUUCGGAUUCAUUGGGCGUAAAGGGUGCGUAGGUGGCGCCGUAAGUCGGGUGUGAAAUUUCGGAGCUUAACUCCGAAACUGCAUUCGAUACUGCGGUGCUUGAGGACUGGAGAGGAGACUGGAAUUCAUGGUGUAGCAGUGAAAUGCGUAGAGAUCAUGAGGAAGACCAGUGGCGAAGGCGGGUCUCUGGACGAG
rnacentral:rRNA from 1 species